rnacentral:rRNA from 1 species
UACGUAGGGGGCAAGCGUUAAUCGGAAUUACUGGGCGUAAAGCGUGCGCAGGCGGCGCGUUAAGACAGGUGGGAAAGCCCCGAGCUUAACUUGGGAAUUGCGCUUGUGACUGGCGAGCUGGAGUGUGGCAGAGGGAGGUGGAAUUCCACGUGUAGCAGUGAAAUGCGUAGAGAUGUGGAGGAACACCGAUGGCGAAGGCAGCCUCCUGGGCCAGCACUGACGCUCAUGCACGAAAGCGUGGGGAGCAAACAGG